AAGAGAUACGCGAUCCACUAUGAACAGCAUGAUAAAAGCGAGGAGACUAAGAAGAAGUUGAGGGGCAGAAUACUUGAUGGCCACUCUAGGUGAGAUAGCAGGUAACACGCCGAAAACUGUGCACGGGUGGGUCUUUGACCCGUAAAUUAAAGACCUGUCCCCUGUGAUUGGGGUUCCAUAGCAGGCCGGUAUAUAUCUAAGGUCGACAGAGACGGUGACGGAAUCCACCCUACAUUGCUUUUCCCAGCCUACAAGACGAAGUUUGGUCUAUUCAACACGGCUCUUUUCGUGACAGAAUCCCCCACCUAACCAACACCAAGCAGCGGAGAGAGGAGCGGCACGCUCAGUAUAUGGACUAUGGGGAAAGAUGGACUUGGGAGGAGAUUUUGGAUGGGGAUGGACCUUGGCAUCAGGCUGGGGAAUACCGUCGCCCACGGGAAGAGAUCGAGGAAUGCAACUCCAGGAAGGGAACUUUUAUUUGUAACUAGUGGAUUUGGUUCUGGGUGUUGAGCCUGAGAUUGUCACAUCUGCUCCUGCCACACCCCCUAGUGGUCAUCCGGUGACUGCUUGACCUGCAGCCAUUCCCCCAGUACGCUCUCUCUCUCUCUCUCCCCCUCCCUUUCUGUUUGUGUGUGAUUGCGUUGUUGGAGACAGGUGUGCUGGAGUCAGAGCAGAUCCCUACCAGCUGCAACUCGUUCCAUUAUCAAGACCUCUACAAAUACUCAGUUCUGCCACCUCCACUCUGCCAGAUCGUAAUUGCUGCUCAAUUUGCCGCCCUGACUCUGGCGCCUGUCUCCUGUUCCACAUCUCACCACCCUGCUACCCUGUUCUGGACUCCCCACACCACCACUCCCUUGGAUUCCCCUCUGGACCUGUAUACCCUGUCCCAACCCAGCACACUCCAACUUCAGCCUCCACAUCUGGUUUCCUACAACUCAUCCAAGCUUCCCCGGAUCUGCACUCCAUAUCUACCUGUGUUACAAUAAAUACCUUGGUUCAUUCAUCUGUUUCCUCGUCUGAGUCUGCUCUUGGGUUCCCCUGUGCCGCUCCACGUAACCG
rnacentral:lncRNA from 1 species